rnacentral:lncRNA from 1 species
GGGACUAUUGGUGUGUUUAACUUUAAACACCUGUGUAAAUGUUUAAAGGCUCAGGGCCUAGGCCUGGUCCCUUGCCUCAACUCAAAGAGAAUUUGUCCAAUGUGGGAAAUCAGGACAUGGACGUGACUUCUUUACUGUCAGCAAUUCCCUGUCAAUAAAUAGAGGACUGCUGCGAUUUUUCAGAGGAGCUGAGGGGAGGGGAAAAUCCAGCCCUGAUUUCAGACAGGCACAGACCCUCUUACGCUCCGCGCCAUAUGCUUCAGCGUGUGGAAAUGGAACUUUUGCAACAUGUGCUUGGAUCAUCAUCAUCGGAAGCGUGCUACAUAUCUCAGGGGAAGAGACUAGAUUGUGCUGUUCAUAACAAGGGCCUUUGCUCUAACAUAUAACACGGCUGCCUUUGCAUUUCUGAUUUGUGUGUGUAAAACACGUGUGUGUGUACCCUUUCACAAACCCCCUCAACAGAAUUGUAUAGUUUAUGUUGGCUAAAAACAUAACAUAACAGGGAUUAUCUAUCUAUCUAUCUAUUCCCAUACACCCCCUCUAUCUAUCUAUCUAUCUAUCUAUCUAUCUAUCUAUCUAUCUAUCUAUCUAUCU